CCUCUCGUCACUCAUCUCAGGUGGGCCACCUUCCUGUGGGCCACGCGCGAACGCUGGCAUUCCCUGCUCCUUGCCUGAAACAUACUCUACGGGUGAGGCACAACUUGUGGUGCGUUCUUACUCGGUUUUUGUCUUAUAGGUUUACAACGAGGAGAAAGAAUCCGAAGAAUGAAAAGGCAGGAACGAUACAGCGUAUCGAACAUCGGUGUGAGCGCAUAGACAAUUCCACGACACGAAAUGGCCGAGGCUGUUUUUCAAGAUCCACCUUAAGACCGUGCAAUUUCCGUGGCUUCGAACGACGACAAGGGCUGUGCGCUCGAACGAGCGAGGCGUCAGGAGGUGGAAGGAUACAACCGGGACAGAAAAUCUGAUAAAAUCGCUAUAUGAAGCAGAGUAGCCUCGCUAAUGAACGUAACUCUUUCGCGUUGCGCCGGUGGUUAGGUUAGGUUCUCUUCUACACGCGCAAGAUGUGCGUUGCUGCAUAUAGCGCGCGUUUAAUUGACGGUGAAAUACGCGACUACGAGGCACCGUCGGGGGUUCCUUCUUUGAAUCCGUGCUCCGUAACAACCACGAGAACGUUCGUAGUUGUCGACUCGAACGAAAUUCGGAACGGUGGUCGGCUUUGCUCGUGGAAAAUCAUCGUUAAACCUAACUCGAUGUCUGCUCCAGAUAUAUUAGCUCUACGUACACGUGUACAACGUCGCUUCUAUGGAGUGUAUGAAUAUGACGCGUACCGAUAGCGUUUAAAUUUCUGCCAAUUUCGUGUAUUCGUUAUUAAUCGAUACAAAAAAAAAAGAUACUUUUAUUCUAAUAUAUUUAUAAUUCGUUUUUAAAAUAUCGAUUAUUUCAAUUUUUCUUUCCGCAAAAUAUAUAAUGUUAUUUUCGCGAUAACAUUAUCGGCCCGGAAAUUUUGUUAUCGAACGAUACCAAAAGCGUAUAAGAACGGACAAUUCGCGUUAGAAUUUCCAUUUAACGUAAAAAAAACUUAUGUAAAAAAAAAAAUAACAUCGAAUCGAAGCAACGACGAAUACUAAUUAAACAAUAUAGUUAAGAGUAUCAUUUAUAUAAAGUUAUUUACGAAGCGUGGAAAUAGAAUAAUUUUAAGGUACACCGAUUUGUUUGAAUUUAUGUAACUGGUCGGAAACAUCGGUCAACGUAACUAAUUUUUUUUGUCUCGAGGCAGUAAUUAGAGAAAGACGUGGUUUCCAGCGAUAAAUCGUAUACGAUUCCUCAGAGGCGAUCGGUCAAUCUUUCAACGUUCCGCUUCAACCCGAUGCUUUCACGCAAUUAAGGAAUUAAAGCGUGCAAUUAAAAAAAAAAAAAAAGGAAAAAAAAAGGACGGAAAAAGAAAAUGGUUGUGACGUUGCCAUUGUACGAGUGAAAUUCGAACCGACUGAGAAAACUCAUUAGAAAGCGCGCCCGCCGCUUGGUGAAACCUGAACGAUUCUCGAUACCGAUUUCAAGCGAGGAUCGCGUUGGUGUCGAUUAUUAUUAACGUAUUCAUCGGCGCGUUGGCCAUCGCGCGUGACUCUUUCUCGACUCUUUCAACUCUUUCAUCCGUAGUCGAUUCCUACGCAGUCGGAUUUCGAAAUAGCAAUCGCGCGCACUGAUAAGGCUAUCUCUGCCGGAUUGGGUCAACGAACGUUGCGAUCGAGUUAAUUAUUUGCUUCAACUAUGAUUCUAAAAACGAUUUCACAUGAUCGGGAUAGUAGACUUUUUUCUUCUUCCUCGAAUUUUUUUCCACAGAAACACUUUUGAAAGGGAUCUUUUAUUCUCUAACACGAGAACCGAUCGUCGCGUUAUUAUUACUUGCCAGAGAUAUCGUCACGGAAAUUUAAAAUAUAUAUAUAUACGCGUUGAACGGGGAACCUUGUCUUACGCACUUUUCGAUGUUAUUUAUUUAUAAUAAAAAAAAUAAAUUUCUCUCUUCCUACGACGAUCGAUUUAAAGAGAGAGAGAGAGAGAAAAAUCAAAAUCUUUCGUGCUCCGGUUCCCUGUAUUUUACAUCCCAUUUAUUUACCCGGUCUCGCGGCGAAGAGGAAAUAACGAGCAUAUUUCAAGCGGCGCGCAGUAGAACAACUUUACAAUUAUAAUCGCACAAUUAGAGUCCCAUGACCGUGGUGAUGCAUAUCCGCAUUUCGAUAAACGGAGCACGCUCUGAAGGGUACGUAACUGAAUUGAAAAAAAGAAUUCCUGGCGAUUUCAGAUAGGAUUUUCGAGCCAACGAACGAACGCUCGAACGUCAGAAUUUAUAAUUCGGCCGAAAUAAUGACGAAUCGACGUCGAAGCACAGAAAAAAAAAAAAAAAAAGAAAAGAAGCAAGACGUAUAAUCGGCGCGCCGAUAAUUUAAUUAUUUUUUUUCUUUUCCUUUUCUCCAUAAAAAUCACUAAUACCAUUCGGUCGGAACAUCAUUGAAAGGACAUUACAACGUUUUUCUUUCCAACCAAUUGGUUGAAUUCUUUUAAUAAUCUUUUUUAUGUUUAUACGUACAUUUCGAUGUUAAUUUACUUUUUUUUUUUUUUUAAGGAUAACGUACUUUUUUAUCAUUUGACCUUUACGCAUCAUUUAUAUGUGUGUAUAUAUAUAUAUAUAAUUUUUUUUCCUUUCUUUUUUUUUAUAUAUAUGUAAUAUUUCUAUCGAUUCUUUACAUAAUCUUCGCAGAUCUGUAUCUACCGGACGGUAUAACCAUCAAAUCAAACACCAUUGCGUUUUAAAUCUGAACGUUUUAUCGCUUAAUCUGGAUUUAAUAUUAACAUUAAAAAAAAAAGAAGAACGAGAACUCGUAUUUUAUACGUAUAGAGAGAGAGAGAGAGAGAGUGGAGCAAUGACUUUAAUCACCUUGAACGUCUCCGCUAUUUUUAAAGACACGGUGGAACUUUGUUUGCAAAAGUUGUGUAGUGGCUAUAUAUAAAGGGGAGAUAUAUGUAUAUAUAUAUAUACAUAUAAGAUUAGAAUAUGCAAUUAUUAUUUUCUUUUUUUAUUGUUGUUUACAGAUUUCAAGAUCACCUCUAUAUCUACUUAAACGCUUUUUUUUUUUUUUUUUUACACUUCUGAUAAAAUUUAAAAGGAGAACAUUGUAAUUAUUCCUUAGGCCAAGAGAGAGAGAACAGAUAAACAGUAUCAGCACGUAAUUCUUCAAAAAGUUUACCAUUGGAUAACCUCUUCCUCUUCGAGUCCUUCCUGGUUUCUCGAACGCACGCACGCUUCUUGAAUUAUCUCCGAGAAUUAUUAAUCGUUGACAUCUCUCCUCUUUUUCUCUUUUAUUUUUCCCCGAGCAGAGAGAAUUUUUUUUUUUUUUUUCCAUUCUUCUGCGAGCGACAUCGAGGGCAGAAGUUCGCGCGUAACGCGAAAGAAAGGAAGAAAAUCUCUUGGAUAAACAGCGUUGGACCGGUACCAACUAUCUUUAUUACGGUAAUCUCGCGGUGCGUUGCUCUUGGAUCGGUCGUUGCUUGGAUCAAUUGUGUUGCACCGCUCGCGGGCAAUAAUAAAUGGUGUCUGAACAAGGUUCGUUGAGCAGUGGGCCAAGAUCCAGAUAUAUUUGUCACGGGCUUAGCAAAGUUCCCAAUUAUUUUUUCAAUACGAUUCGGGAAUAGAUAUUCGUUCCGUUGCCGCGGAUAACGUUUCUUGAGCAGCGGAUCUCUCCUCUUCAAAAAAAUUAAUUAUUCUUAACCGCGAAAUUACGCGUAUUUUAUUUCUCGAAACUAAUGAAAAUCAGUUCGAUCGAAGAUUUAUCGAAAUUUUUUCCGUGAAAUUUCGAACCGAAGGGAUAAACGCACGAUCGAUUUUUUUUAUCGCGUAAAUCGCCACCAAGAUUCCAAGUGGAAGUUUGGAACAAUGAGUUGCAACGGGUUUCGUUUAGUCGAUUGAGAAAUGGCCGCGCGCGACACAAAGAGCUCGUUGUGAACAAGGGAUUGGUGAAAUAAUUAACGAUUAAAGUGUCCACCGGCGGAUCGGCCAUUCCAUAUUUUUAUAUAAUCUUCUUCGAGCUACUUACACACACUUUUAUCAAUCGUUCUUUCUUUCUUUCUCCUCGUCGAAUCACUUUCGUUUCUUAAAUCUAAAAACCUAACCUCCAAAUAACUGGAGCUGCCGCACCGCCCAACGAUUUAAAAAAAAAAACUCGAUUUAUGGAUGGAAAAAUUCUUCCUUGGAUAUCUUCGUUUCUGAAUGAAACGAGAGAUUUUUUCCUCUUUUAACAAUUUCAACGAUUCACGGAAGUUCAAGACGGAGGUUAUAUUUGCCGCGGAUGUCCCAUUAAUGGCUUCCCCUCUCUUCCACGGUAUCGGUAUUAAAUAAUAUUUAGAGAAAGGGAAGGAAGAGGAGGAAGGGAACAGAGGCAGAAAGAGAGAGAGAGGAACCGAUCGACGAUGGUGAACGAUAGGCGGCGGCUAUAGAGGUCGACUGUGCGGAGAUGGGGAGAAGGAUGGUUUUAAUAAGUGAGAGACGGACGCACAGUGGUGUUCGACGAACGUGACCUUGUAACGAUAAAAAACAAGGGACCAUGUAUCCCGGAGAGUGAUUCAUGUCGCCGGCGAAACGCGAAUGCUUUAUGACGGAACACGGAUUUCGACGCGUGUUCCGUACCGAGUAAUGAAUGUUUGCAUUGUUUUCGCACCGACAGAUGGACAUUUCGGUUGGUUCAUGGAAAAAUAUAAAGAAUGGCCGGUUACGCUGGAAUACCUUCCUCCUCCGCCGGGGGGGGAAAUGAACGUCCUAAUCAUCCCGAUUGUAGGCGAAUUCUUAUGCAAAUUCGGAUUUUUACGAGGAGAUGAAUCUCUAAUCUAAACUGAAAGAAUUGUGCUUGGGCGAAGAUGAACUGGUAUACACUUUUCCUGACAUUUUCAUCUGAAAGGUGUAAAAGAAAAUUUAUUUCGAAAAAAUCGAAAGAAUAAAAUUGAAACGAAUAUGGCGGAAAUUUAUAUAAUUUCGGAUUUUCAAAAGAAGAUGAAAGGAAGAAAAUUAUAGUUAGAAGGAGAAUUAAUUUAUAAAAAAAUUCUCUCUCUUACAACGUCUUAUAAACGGAAGAUUCAUAAAAAUUAUUUAGGAGAAAUACUAGUUUCUCGUUACUCUAACCUCGAAAUGAACGAACGUAGCGGAAAUUUACAUAUUAUUAUACAUAUUAUUAAUUAUAGAGGGGAGAGCAUUACAUAAUUGUUAAUAAUUAUAUAAAAACUAUAUAUAUAUAUGUACAUUCAAGGUUAUGGCGAAAAUUCAGAAAAACUAGUUUCUCCCAAAUGAAUCUAAAAAAGGAUCGAAAGUAUCUUAAAUUAUCCUUCGACCUUAUAUGGCGAAGAUUCGUAAGCAAUUAACCAUUGGAAUCGAGGAGAACGAUCUUCCACGACGAUUUUACCGAUUUACCAACCCGUCGAAAGUGUAAAUUACCUUUUGCGAUAAAUGCAGCGGUACACAGAACGUCCCCGAUCUCUCUUGCACUCUCCCGCCCCCUCCUUCUCCCCCGUUUCCUUUCGUCCCUCGCCCCUCCUUCCUCCUUCCUUUCCGGGUCCCUGGAACCCUUUAUGUAUCGCACCCUUGCCUAGAAGUCAUCCCCAGUUUCCUACUCCCAACAGCUAUUAGUCCAAACAAUAUGGCUGCCAAACGCAGCGAACAAUCGAUAGCAAGCGAGCGAGCGAGCGAGCGGUGGGCGCCAACUGGCUGUAUAAUCGAAUUAAGACUAUUAAACGCGAAAUCGAACGUCAUCUUCCAACUGUUUUGCGUAACGCACGUAUAACCGCGCCUUACAUUGCGCGACCGACCUUUGUCCCAUAGAUUAUCGCCUAAUGGCAAACCAUCGCUUUUUCUCCAUCCAAAUUGGUUCCAUCGAAAUUAAUUGCGUCAUUCGAUUGUUAUUAAUCGUUGCCUUGGAUAUCGCGAAUAAAUAAACUUUCUUGAAACGUAUUUCGUAUAAACGUGUCGUUACGAAUCGACGUAUUUCCAUUUUUGAUAGGGUAUAAUUUUAAAGUAAGUAACGCUUCGAGGCAGUUCUUGCUUCUUCGGGCGAAUGAACGUUUUUCUUUAUAUCGUAGAACGUUCGUGUUAUUGGGCGAGAAACACCUUUGUUGCAGUUGCGGUCUCGGCACGUGGCAACGUUGCCGGAACAGCCUGUUGCGCAGUAUCCCUAUAAACGCUUGGAACAUCUAAAUUCGUAAACACACUUAAAAUAUCCUCCUCCCUAUAUCCUAGCGAGUUUUAAGCGAUCUUUCUUAACGAACGCAUACGUGUAUACGUACAUCGUAAGAUGUUCGUUACGUAAAAAAGAAAAAAUAAAAAUUCUAAAAAUUGGGAAUGGAAA